rnacentral:misc_RNA from 1 species
GAUGAAGAACGCAGCGAGAUGCGAUACGUAAUGUGAAUUGCAGAAUUCAGUGAAUCAUCGAGUCUUUGAACGCACAUUGCGCCCCCUGGUAUUCCGGGGGGCAUGCCUGUCCGAGCGUCAUUGCUGCCCUCAAGCACGGCUUGUGUGUUGGGCCUCCGCCCCCCGGCUCCCGGGGGGCGGGCCCGAAAGGCAGCGGCGGCACCGCGUCCGGUCCUCGAGCGUAUGGGGCUUCGUCACCCGCUCCGUAGGCCCGGCCGGCGCCCGCCGGCGACCCCCCUCAAUCUUUCCAGGUUGACCUCGGAUCAGGUAGGGAUACCCGCUGAACUUAAGCAUAUCAAUAAGCGGAGGA